rnacentral:rRNA from 1 species
CCUACGGGUGGCUGCAGUGGGGAAUAUUGGACAAUGGGGGGAACCCUGAUCCAGCCAUGCCGCGUGUGUGAAGAAGGCCCUCGGGUUGUAAAGCACUUUCAGUGAGGAAGAACGCCUGGUGGUUAAUACCCAUCAGGAAAGACAUCACUCACAGAAGAAGCACCGGCUAACUCCGUGCCAGCAGCCGCGGUAAUACGGAGGGUGCGAGCGUUAAUCGGAAUUACUGGGCGUAAAGCGCGCGUAGGUGGCUUGAUAAGCCGGUUGUGAAAGCCCCGGGCUCAACCUGGGAACGGCAUCCAGAACUGUCAAGCUAGAGUGCAGGAGAGGAAGGUAGAAUUCCCGGUGUAGCGGUGAAAUGCGUAGAGAUCGGGAGGAAUACCAGUGGCGAAGGCGGCCUUCUGGACUGACACUGACACUGAGGUGCGAAAGCGUGGGUAGCAAACAGGAUUAGAUACCCUAGUAGUC